ACAUGCAAGUAGAACGCUGAAGCUUGGKGCUUGCACCGAGCGGAUGAGUUGCGAACGGGUGAGUAACGCGUAGGUAACCUGCCUGGUAGCGGGGGAUAACUAUUGGAAACGAUAGCUAAUACCGCAUAAAAUGGAUUAUCGCAUGAUAAUCCAUUGAAAGGUGCAAAUGCAUCACUACCAGAUGGACCUGCGUUGUAUUAGCUAGUUGGUGRGGUAACGGCUCACCAAGGCGACGAUACAUAGCCGACCUGAGAGGGUGAUCGGCCACACUGGGACUGAGACACGGCCCAGACUCCUACGGGAGGCAGCAGUAGGGAAUCUUCGGCAAUGGACGGAAGUCUGACCGAGCAACGCCGCGUGAGUGAAGAAGGUUUUCGGAUCGUAAAGCUCUGUUGUAAGAGAAGAACGAGUGUGAGAGUGGAAAGUUCACACUGUGACGGUAUCUUACCAGA
rnacentral:rRNA from 1 species